rnacentral:rRNA from 1 species
CCUCGACUUCGGAAGGGGUGUAUUUAUUAGAUAAAAAACCAAUGCCCUUCGGGGCUCCUUGGUGAUUCAUAAUAACUUAACGAAUCGCAUGGCCUUGCGCCGGCGAUGGUUCAUUCAAAUUUCUGCCCUAUCAACUUUCGAUGGUAAGAUAGUGGCUUACCAUGGUCUCAACGGGUAACGGGGAAUUAGGGUUCUAUUCCGGAGAGGGAGCCUGAGAAACGGCUACCACAUCCAAGGAAGGCAGCAGGCGCGCAAAUUACCCAAUCCCAAUUCGGGGAGGUAGUGACAAUAAAUACUGAUACGGGGCUCUUUCGGGUCUCGUAAUUGGAAUGAGUACAAUCUAAAUCCCUUAACGAGGAACAAUUGGAGGGCAAGUCUGGUGCCAGCAGCCGCGGUAAUUCCAGCUCCAAUAGCGUAUAUUAAAGUUGUUGCCGUUAAAAAGCUCGUAGUUGAACCUUGGACCUGGCUGAUCUGUCCUCCUAAUCGAGCGCACGGAUUCGGUCGGGUCUUUCCUUCUGGGGAGCCCUAUGCCCUUCACUGGGUGUAGUGGGGAACCAGGACUUUUACCUUGAAAAAAUUAGAGUGUUCAAAGCAGGCCUUUGCUCGAAUACAUUAGCAUGGAAUAAUAGAAUAGGACAUCGGUUCUAUUUUGUUGGUUUCUAGGACCGCUGUAAUGAUUAAUAGGGAUAGUCGGGGGCGUCAGUAUUCAAUUGUCAGAGGUGAAAUUCUUGGAUUUAUUGAAGACUAACUACUGCGAAAGCAUUCGCCAAGGAUGUUUUCAUUAAUCAGUGAACGAAAGUUAGGGGAUCGAAGACGAUCAGAUACCGUCGUAGUCUUAACCAUAAACUAUGCCGACUAGGGAUCGGACGGUGGUUUUUUUAUGCCCCGUUCGGCACCUUACGAGAAAUCAAAGUUUUUGGGCUCGGGGGGG